rnacentral:rRNA from 1 species
UACGUAGGGCGCAAGCAUUAAUCGGAUUUAUUGGGCGUAAAGGGCGCGUAGGUUGGAGCGUAAGUCAGAUGUGAAAUCCCGGGGCUCAACCCCGGAACUGCAUUUGAAACUGUGUUUCUAGAGGGUAGGCGGAGAAAACGGAAUUCCACAAGUAGCGGUGAAAUGCGUAGAUAUGUGGAAGAACACCAGUGGCGAAGGCGGUUUUCUAGCUUAUACCUGACGCUGAUGAGCGAAAGCAAGGGGAGCAAACAGG